GCUGGGUAUGGUGGUGCAUUCCUGUAAUCCGAGCUACUCAGGAAGCUGAGGUGGGAGGAUUGCCUGAGCCCAAGAGUUCUGGACUAUAGUGUUCCAUGAUGACAUCUGGACUAUAGUGUUCCAUGAUGACAUAGCUAGGCCCUGUCUCUUACACAAAACACAAAGUAACAAAAUGAAAACUGGUCGGGUGCAGUGGCUCAUGCCUGUAAUCUCAGCAGUUUGGGAGGCUGAGGCGGGGGGAUCACCUGAGGUCAGGAGUUCAAGACCAGCCUGGGCAACAUGGUGAAACCCCAUCUCUA
ensembl:misc_RNA Metazoa_SRP Metazoan signal recognition particle RNA